GACGAACGCUGGCGGCGUGCUUAACACAUGCAAGUCGAACGGAAAGGCCCUGCUUUUGUGGGGUGCUCGAGUGGCGAACGGGUGAGUAACACGUGAGUAACCUGCCCUUGACUUUGGGAUAACUUCAGGAAACUGGGGCUAAUACCGGAUAGGAGCUCCUGCUGCAUGGUGGGGGUUGGAAAGUUUCGGCGGUUGGGGAUGGACUCGCGGCUUAUCAGCUUGUUGGUGGGGUAGUGGCUUACCAAGGCUUUGACGGGUAGCCGGCCUGAGAGGGUGACCGGCGACAAUAGGACUGAGAUACGGCCCAGACUCGAACGGGAGGCAGCAGUGGGGAAUAUUGCAGAAUGGGCGGAAGCCAGAUGCAGCAACGCCGCGUGCGGGAAGACGGCCUUCGAGUUGUAAACCGAUGUCGCCUGUGACGAAGCGUGAGUGACGGUAAUGGGUAAAGAAGCACCGGCUAACUACGUG
rnacentral:rRNA from 1 species